rnacentral:misc_RNA from 1 species
UGAAUUUUAAUCAUAAAUCAAAUUAACGAAAACAAAAUAUAGGUUAAUAAGAAGUAUUGGUGGCAAUUUAUUCAGAAUUUGUACUGAAACCUGACAAGAUAGAUAUAAUUAUAAUUUCAGACAUCAUUCUCGAUGGAAGAACUAUAGCCACUUUGAUCAUCAUAGUAUUUAGACCAAAGCAUUACACCACCAUACUUGGAAGAACCCUUAAUGGCAGGAAGCAUCCUGGAUGCUAGAUCAGGUACAGGAAUGAAGCCACUGCCCGCUGCCUCAGGAGAAGCAGGCAAACCUAAGAAAAUCUUGGUGGCUGGAAUAUCAGAAUUCCAUUGUUUCCAAGCAUCUUCAAGACUGCUAAUAUUACUGCGUGCAAAUUGGCAAGGUGGGUUGUUGCAGAGUUGGACCCAAACGUUGUCAAAAAGGCCUGUUUUCAGGGCAUUUCCCACUGAUGCAUCAGGUAAAGGGCAUUGUGGAGCUGCUGUGAGGUAUACCUUAUUGCCUUUCUUGCUAUAUCCUGAGAGCCACCUUGCAAGGUCAUCCCGAUACAGGCCUGAAACUCCUUCGAUGUCAAAGUCGAUUCCAUCCAAAAUAGCAGAUCCUAAAGGACGAGACGAAGAUUGAGAUUGUCCUCCCAAGAAGUUAAUUCUAUAAGUAAGCUGCGACUUACCUGGCAUCCUCUGAAGAGGCAAGAGAGUAGCUACAAGCACAACCUUCAAUGGAAAGCAUUACUUCGAUGCCUUUGGAUUGACAUUGUUUUAUGUCGGCGCUUAGGCCAGUGCAGCCAUUACUGUAAGGAUCGCAAUGGCCUGCAAGAUUUAUCAUUGGAGUUCUACCACUGCCAAAAGUGGAUAGAAAAGCUAUGUUGACAAAAUCAUACUUUCCGGAGGCACAGGUUUUCUGCUAGUGUUCCCUCAUUUCCAUUCUGACGCCAGUAAAUGGCAAUGCUACCAGCAUUUUAACUGCUUGCUAGCAUUAGUAUUACUAGGAUGAGGAAUGGCAUUGAAACUGCUAUUUGUUGGGCCAUUUUGGAGAUGAAAGCUGCAAGUCUUGAAGAAAAUGUCUUCCUAUUCAGAUUGUGAGUUUAAG